AGCGGAUGAAGGGAGCUUGCUCCUGGAUUCAGCGGCGGACGGGUGAGUAAUGCCUAGGAAUCUGCCUGGUAGUGGGGGAUAACGUCCGGAAACGGGCGCUAAUACCGCAUACGUCCUGAGGGAGAAAGUGGGGGAUCUUCGGACCUCACGCUAUCAGAUGAGCCUAGGUCGGAUUAGCUAGUUGGUGGGGUAAAGGCCUACCAAGGCGACGAUCCGUAACUGGUCUGAGAGGAUGAUCAGUCACACUGGAACUGAGACACGGUCCAGACUCCUACGGGAGGCAGCAGUGGGGAAUAUUGGACAAUGGGCGAAAGCCUGAUCCAGCCAUGCCGCGUGUGUGAAGAAGGUCUUCGGAUUGUAAAGCACUUUAAGUUGGGAGGAAGGGCAGUAAGUUAAUACCUUGCUGUUUUGACGUUACCAACAGAAUAAGCACCGGCUAACUUCGUGCCAGCAGCCGCGGUAAUACGAAGGGUGCAAGCGUUAAUCGGAAUUACUGGGCGUAAAGCGCGCGUAGGUGGUUCAGCAAGUUGGAUGUGAAAUCCCCGGGCUCAACCUGGGAACUGCAUCCAAAACUACUGAGCUAGAGUACGGUAGAGGGUGGUGGAAUUUCCUGUGUAGCGGUGAAAUGCGUAGAUAUAGGAAGGAACACCAGUGGCGAAGGCGACCACCUGGACUGAUACUGACACUGACGUGCGAAAGCGUGGGGAGCAAACAGGAUUAGAUACCCUGGUAGUCCACGCCGUAAACGAUGUCGACUAGCCGUUGGGAUCCUUGAGAUCUUAUUGGCGCAGCUAACGCGAUAAGUCGACCGCCUGGGGAGUACGGCCGCAAGGUUAAAACUCAAAUGAAUUUGACGGGCGCCCGCACAA
rnacentral:rRNA from 1 species